CUUCUUCUUUCUUCUUUCUCUUCCCCUGUUCUUCUCCAGUUCUGUUCGAUUUGUGAGUUGUGAGUUCGGUUCGAGAGAUUUAAUUAAAUAGGGAGAGCUUAUUAAGUAGAAUAUGGUGAUGAUGUUGUGUUUUAUUAAGCACGAGAUGAAGGAGAUGAUUGAGCGGAUGCAAAUCGAAGUUGGGGUUAGAAUUUAGUUCUUGAGAUGGAGGAAAUCAACUGAAGAUUGAGUUUCUAGUAGAUGUAGAACCGAGGGGUUGUUAAGGAAUUGAGGAGGUGAAGCUUUUCUGGUGUUGAAUCCAAACCAGUGGAUUGAGGCUCUCGAGGCAGGCAUGGCUCGUCAUCAAAUCAGUUUCAGUAUUCAGAAGAAAAGGCGCACGUGAAGAUAUUCGUUUCCGUAGCGUAACGUUUCAGCGAAUUGAAGAUGUUUAUUUAUAUUUUAUACAUGUAUACUUUCUCUGUAAACAACACAUGGUUAUAUUCGUAUUACAUGAGAGAUCUUCAUUUGUACUGUAUUAGAGUGUAUGGGUUUGUUUUUGGGCUUAGCUUAUGUAGUCUAGAUUCUUAAGAUCGUUAGUCUAGAUUUUAUGUUUCAAUUAGUUUGUAAUCCUAUUAGCUAAGCAGGUUAAGUACUUGGGGCGUCACAAUUGAGAUGCUGUAACAGUUGGAGAUCGACAAAAAGUUGAACUGGUGGUAAUGGGGCAGUUAAGAGGAGUUGGUAGCGGGAUAUAUGAGCUUUCAUCCGCUCUUUUGGUCUAGUUUCGAAUUGAAUUUGUGAUUUGAUUAGUCGUAAUCAUGUCCACUCAUUUCUUUGCAUCAUAUGAAUUGAACUCAA